ACAACAAGAGGAGCUUCGGCGACGAGGGGAAGAGAUCCAAGUACUUCACCUUCGAUUUGCUGAAUAUGGAGAAAAACAACAAGAGGAGCUUCGGCGACGAGAGGAAGAGAUCAAAGCACUUCACCUUCGAUUUGCUGAAUAUGGAGAUAAACAACAAGAGGCGCUUCUGCGACGAGAGGAAGAGAUCCAAGGACUUCACCUUCGAUUUGCUGAAUAUGGAGAUAAACAACAAGAGGCGCUUCUGCGACGAGAGGAAGAGAUCCAAGGACUUCACCUUCGAUUUGCUGAAUAUGGAGAUAAACAACAAGAGGCGCUUCUGCGACGAGAGGAAGAGAUCGAAGCGCUUCACCUUCGAUUUGCUGAAUAUGGACAUAUACAUCAAGAGGCGCUUCUGCGACGAGAGGAAGAGAUCGAAGCGCUUCACCUUCGAUUUGCUGAAUAUGGACAUAAACAUCAAGAGGCGCUUCUGCGACGAGAGGAAGAGAUCGAAGGACUUCACCUUCAAUUUGCUGAAUAUGGACAUAAACAAGAAGAGGAGCGUCGGCGACGAGAGGAAGAGAUCAAAGCAUUUCACCUUCAAUUUGCUGAAUAUGGACAUAAACAACAAGAGGCGCUUCUGCGACGAGAGGAAGAGAUCGAAGCGCUUCACCUUCGAUUUGCUGAAUAUGGACAUAAACAAGAAGAGGAGCGUCGGCGACGAGAGGAAGAGAUCAAAGCAUUUCACCUUCAAUUUGCUGAAUAUGGACAUAAACAACAAGAGGCGCUUCUGCGACGAGAGGAAGAGAUCGAAGGACUUCACCUUCGAUUUGCUGAAUAUGGACAUAAACAUCAAGAGGCGCUUCUGCGACGAGAGGAAGAGAUCCAAGGACUUCACCUUCGAUUUGCUGAAUAUGGACAUAAACAAGAAGAGGAGCGUCGGCGACGAGAGGAAGAGAUCAAAGCACUUCACCUUCAAUUUGCUGAAUAUGGACAUAAACAACAAGAGGCGCUUCUGCGACGAGAGGAAGAGAUCGAAGGACUUCACCUUCGAUUUGCUGAAUAUGGACAUAAACAUCAAGAGGCGCUUCUGCGACGAGAGGAAGAGAUCCAAGGACUUCACCUUCGAUUUGCUGAAUAUGGACAAAAACAAGAAGAGGAGCGUCGGCGACGAGAGGAAGAGAUCAAAGCACUUCACCUUCAAUUUGCUGAAUAUGGACAUAAACAACAAGAGGAGCAUCGGCGACGAGAGGAAGAGAUCCAAGGACUUCACCUUCAAUUUGCUGAAUAUGGACAUAAACAACAAGAGGAGCUUCGGCGACGAGAGGAAGAGAUCCAAGGACUUCAC
rnacentral:lncRNA from 1 species